AGUCCUGUAGCUCAGUGGUUAGAGCGCUCGCCUCGUAAGCGAGAGGCCCUGGGUUUGAUUCCCGGACGGGUCAG